rnacentral:rRNA from 1 species
CACGGAGGGUGCGAGCGUUGUCCGGAAUCAUUGGGCGUAAAGGGCGCGUAGGUGGCGGGACAAGCGUGCGGUGAAAGCCUGGGGCUCAACCCCGGGUCGGCCGUGCGAACUGUUUUGCUUGAGCACUGUAGAGGCAGGCGGAAUUCCGGGUGUAGCGGUGGAAUGCGUAGAGAUCCGGAAGAACACCGGUGGCGAAGGCGGCCUGCUGGGCAGUAGCUGACACUGAGGCGCGACAGCGUGGGGAGCAAACAGG